UACGGAGGGUGCAAGCGUUAGUCGGAAUUACUGGGCGUAAAGGGUGCGUAGGCGGGGAUGUAAGUCAUGUGUGAAAUACUGAAGCUCAACUUCAGCUGUGCACAUGAAACUGCGUUUCUAGAGGAAGAGCGGAGAAAACGGAAUUCCACGUGUAGCGGUGAAAUGCGUAGAUAUGUGGAAGAACACCUGUGGCGAAAGCGGUUUUCUAGCUUAUUCCUGACGCUGAGGCACGAAAGCAAGGGGAGCAAACAGG
rnacentral:rRNA from 2 species